AUGACGAUACCUUCUCAUUAGCUUAAAGCAUACUUCCCAGGAAUCUCUGUAAUAAAAGAUCAAGUGUUGCAUCAAGAUACUCCUUUACCACAGAAGGUUGGAAUGGAUCUUUGUCAACUAGUUGAUCUCUCAUGUAAAGUAGCAUGGUUUAUUCUUCUCCACCUACUUUUCCAUUCUCCUGGCGGUGGUCCAUACUCCAUAGUUUGGAGUUUGGACUUUGGAGCACUGAACCAUAUUACAGCCUCGUUAUACUUUUUGGGCAAUGGAAGCGGGAACCUUAACUUUUUAGCAGCAGGCAGAAUGGAAUCUUUGGGUGGACAUGGAAAAUUUUGGAUUCUAUGUGAUAAAUGAAGAACUGCAACAAGUAGAAGGUAAAUAUUAUAUACAAUAUCAAUAGAUAAUAAGUCUUAAUUGACACCUUCGAUAUAAUGAUUGGAAACUCAAGAAGGUUACUAUUGAUUGAUACACAUACAACUAUACAAGUACAUCAGUAUAUACAAGUCUUUUAACACCUAACCUGUGACAAGAAUUUAGAGGGUGACUGUUUAUGGUGUGUUUAAAUGUAUCAAUCAACGAAAUGACAUUUUGCAUGCUACAUAACUGGUCACUUUAUUCAUAUUGUUUUCAUUCUAUUUCGAGGCGAUAAAAUACAUGUUCAAUGUGUGCGUGUGUGAGAGGGGGAGAAAAUAAGGGCUCGGUCCUGCAUCACUGCCACAUCCCCAAGUCUUCAUUUUGAAUAAUGUCAGUAUUCUGAGUGAUCCAUAUAACAUGCAUAUAAUGGCACGAGGAAGGUGAUCCAUUUCGUUCUGACAGAUAUGGGUUCAUGGAUUGAAGAUCAGACGUCAAAUGAUGAUUCGUAUACAAUACAUCUGUGAAAAAGAUGAUAAAAUACCUUGAUUUGCAUCAAGCUGAUGGAGCAAAUUUACUGAUACGGUUUUGUACCAGCAAUGAUUUAUCAUGUUCACAAUGAAGAAUUACAUGCCUUAUUCGAAAGAAUGAAUGGUAUUUUCAUUCCUUUUUUAAUCUUUUUGGUUAGAGGCCAAAAGAGGGCGGAUAGAUUUGUGGAGUGAGAAGAAAAGCACGAGCAUCUUCUUUGCGACACAAGUGCAUCAAGUUGAUUAGAUACUUGGAUGUUCUCCUGUAAAGAAAAUUCUUAUUUUCGAAUGUGUGACAUAUGUUGGCAGUAAUUGAUCAAGUUCA